CCGUUGAAAUCUAUAAAUCCAGCAGGGUUAGUAGUUGUGGGUGCUUCACUGCCCUAUAAUCCGCUUCAUUGUCAAUUGACAGUGAGUCUCUUCGGAGUUAGGAGCGGUCGACAUCUUGAAUUGGAGUAAGUAGUCACUCCUCAUGGCCUGUUAUGACUGAGAGGCUGCCAUCAUGAUUGGAGGAUUGUUCAUCUACAACCACAAGGGGGAGGUGCUGAUCUCCCGCGUCUACCGUGAUGACAUAGGGCGCAACGCGGUGGAUGCGUUCCGCGUGAACGUGAUCCAUGCGCGGCAGCAGGUGCGCUCGCCGGUCACCAACAUCGCCCGCACCAGCUUCUUCCACGUCAAGCGCUCCAACAUCUGGCUGGCGGCGGUCACCAAGCAGAAUGUCAACGCCGCCAUGGUGUUCGAGUUCCUCUACAAGAUGUGCGACGUCAUGACGGCCUACUUCGGCAAGAUCAGCGAGGAGAACAUCAAGAACAACUUUGUGCUGAUCUACGAGCUGCUGGACGAGAUCCUGGACUUUGGCUACCCCCAGAACUCGGAGACUGGCGCACUGAAGACCUUCAUCACUCAAACAGGCAUCAAGAGCCAGCACCAUUCCAAGGAGGAGCAGUCUCAGAUCACCAGUCAGGUGACCGGGCAGAUCGGCUGGCGUCGCGAGGGCAUCAAGUACCGUCGCAACGAGCUCUUCCUGGACGUGCUGGAGAGCGUCAACCUGCUGAUGUCCCCACAAGGCCAGGUGCUGAGCGCCCACGUCUCGGGCCGCGUGGUGAUGAAGAGCUACCUGAGCGGCAUGCCGGAGUGCAAAUUUGGAAUGAACGACAAGAUCGUCAUCGACAAACAGGGCAAAGGGGGCGCCACUGAGGAGGCGGCGGGCAAGAGUGAUUUGGGAGGCAGUGGCGGUGGUGGCGGUAAGCAAUCCAUAGCCAUUGACGACUGUACAUUCCACCAGUGUGUGCGUCUCAGCAAGUUUGACGCUGAGCGCAGCAUCAGCUUCAUUCCUCCGGACGGAGAAUGUGAACUCAUGAGGUACCGCACCACCAAGGACAUCAUCCUACCCUUCCGUGUCAUCCCCCUUGUCAGGGAGGUGGGCCGCACCAAGCUUGAAGUCAAGGUGGUCAUUAAGUCCAACUUCAAGCCCUCGCUUCUGGCUCAGAAGAUUGAGGUAUGGCUACAGAGGGAUAUAGGGGUACCAAGUGAGCAUAGAGCUUUGGACACAGUACCUGACCAGGUCGUGGUCAUCACGGUCAGGUGCGCAUCCCCACCCCUCUCAACACCAGCGGGGUCCAGGUGAUCUGCAUGAAGGGCAAGGCCAAGUACAAGGCCAGCGAGAACGCCAUCGUCUGGAAGAUCAAGCGUAUGGCAGGGAUGAAGGAGUCUCAAAUCAGUGCUGAGAUCGAGCUGCUGCCCACCAACGACAAGAAGAAGUGGGCGCGCCCUCCCAUCUCCAUGAACUUUGAGGUGCCAUUUGCUCCGUCCGGACUCAAGGUGCGCUACCUGAAGGUGUUCGAGCCCAAGCUGAACUACAGUGACCACGACGUCAUCAAAUGGGUGCGCUAUAUCGGCCGCAGCGGCAUUUAUGAGACACGCUGCUAACCGCCACCUCACAAUCGGGUGGAAAGAGGGACGCAACAGGGAAGAGGCUGGACCAAGGGAGGGAGCGAAAGACGACAACAUGGGAUCGUUUCUUUCAGUCUUUUUUUCCCCCGGGCUGGCUGACAAACGGAAAAAAAAUCUAUAUAUUGAAAAUUAUUAUAUUACUAAAAGCAUAUAUGUAUAAAUAAUGCAAACAUCCUGUGAAGUACAAAAAAUACCAUCUGCAUCUAAAGGGUCUUUUCCCCUUUUUAAUCUAAACAAAACAUCCAUUCCACCCCCAUGAUAUGUUGUUUACUAUUCCUGUACAACCCAUCUAUUCCCCCUGGCACUGAAUUAGUGGACGACUGUACCCCUUGCCCAUAACCACAGAUCUAGAAUCAGAUCAUGCACCAUACCCUCAAUCCUAAUGUAUUAGGAGGAUAAAAAAAAAGUGUCUGACCAUGUAUCAUUGGCUUAGGAGUAACUGCUACCCUCCCUCUCUCUUGAUGCUGGCAUAGGUGUGUGUGUAUCGCUCUUCUGUUCUCCUGUAGCAACUAACGUCUCCUGUCCCACCUCUCUCUCCCCAGCCCUGCCCCUGUAUCUAUAUCUAACCGGCGGAGUCACUCUUUAGCCCAGUGUGUAGUUUUCAGCCGUAUGUGGUGUAGACGCAUCCGUUAAGUGUCAUGCCGUUGUCAGUACAUUUUCUAAGUUUUGUUAUUUUAACACCCGGCCUUCCCAGAGUAUUGUAUUCAUGAAUCGUCUUGUGUUUUUGUAUUUAGUGCUUUGUCGUGCUUCUCUAAAGCUCUCUGGCCACCAUUCCAUCGAGCUGCCUCACGGUCUUAUCCCACACCCUUAGUCCUCCUCUACUAUUUCCAAUAGCUGGUGGUGUCAUUAUUAUGAUUCCUCCUGACGCAGGUAUCAUUUUGCUGUAGUUCUGUCUUAAGUGCUGCAGAGAUUCCUUCUGUGUGACCAAAAUUGUCAGUUUUAGGAACAAAAAAAAUGUAGCGAUGACAAUAGACGGGACACAUCAGUCUAUGAAUAUAAAUAUAUAUAAACACAUCUCUAUAUUGUAUGAAUGGUAAAAAUGUGCUAUCGAGCAGAGCCAGUUGUUACGGUCUCAAUGGUCUGCUGUUAGGGAUGGUGUUUGUGUAGGAGACGCAGUUGAGCAGAUCUGUGUGUGUGUGCGUGCGUGCAUUGCUAUUCUUCCCCAGGACCACGAUCUGCUAAACAUGUCUCGGGAGUCUGAAAUUCUGGCUGCAAAUUCCCAGUUCUGAUCCCGACUGGAAUUCUGACCCUCCCAUAUGCUUUACAUUAGCAUGGGUGUAUUUAUUGACCAGUUAAAGGGAUAGUUCAACAAAUUACAAUGGCUUUGGUUUCCUUACCCUGUAAGCAGUCUAUGGACAAGGUAUGACAACAACAUGCUUUGGUUUAGUUUCCCUGUCACUGUUAUCACAUGCAAAUGUUUUAUCAUUUGUGGCACAAAUCCCAUUCAUGUCAUGGGACCGAUAUUAGCAUUUGUCGCGCAUCAUGUUCAAAUCAAUUUGUGAUCCAUUUGGACAUGAUGCAUGAAAAACGAUAAUAUUGGUCCCAUGACUUCAAUGGGAUUUGUGCCACAAAUGUUAAAAUGUUUGCAUGUGGAAACGGUGCCAAGGAAGCUAAACCAAAGCAUGGCUUGCUGUCAUACCUUGUCCAAAGACUGAUUUCCCCCACCCAUAUAAAAAAAUAUAUUGUUUACAACUUAAUUUUGAAAUCAGUUUAAUGAAGGGAUUUGGAUAUGGAACAAUGGUGUGUGUUACCAGAGAGAGAGAAAUGGGUUGCGUCCCAAAUAGUACAUUACUUUUAAGGUGCCAUUUGGGACAGAGACAGAGUGACUGAGUGUUCAACUCAUCUCAGCCUACUGGACUUGGACUGCCUGCAUUUCAAAUGAACAUUUUGAAAUAUUCCACCUUUCAGAUAGCGUUCCUCUUCCUCUCAUAUUCCUUCUAGUUCAGUCAUGGCUAUUGUGGGUAUUAAACAAAGGCUAUCAGAUUGUAUGAGCAUUUGCAGUUGCAACAAACACUCAGUGUGACACUGCAUAAAGUUUCCAUUCUCUUUUUCUCUGGCACUACGUUCUACCAAUGAACACUAAAAGCGCUUCUGCUAACUCCUGAAAAACCCUAUCUCUCUGGCUGGCUGUAAUUGCACACUAUUCCCAAAAUCCUAUGGGUCCUGGCCAAAAGUAGUGCACUAUAUAGGCAAUAGGUUGCCAAUUGAGACCUAGUCUCCCUCUCUGGUCAAUGCCCACUAUGUCAUGGGAUGGGGAGGGAGAGUCCUGGGGGCUUGACCCUCUGCUUCAAUGUUUCCAUGGGAUCCAUUUGGUAACUAUGUGACUGUCAAGGUAAUCCCAAUAAAAAAGGUGUAACCAAUGGAA